rnacentral:lncRNA from 1 species
CAAGAAUUUUAACGGUAGGGGCAUUUUUUUCAAAAUAGGUUAACGAAUGGCAUUUUUAAACUGGCGUCAAUAUGUUAGGGGCAGUUCUGACCCUUUUCCGUUUAUUUAUUCCCUUUCUUUAUAUAAAAAGAAAUUAUUGUGCUAAAGUUACUAAACUUUUUUUUAAAAAUAAAAUAGUCAAUUUCUUUGCCUAAAUAUUGCAGUGUAGUUUUGAAGUGCGUGUAAAACUAAAGAAAAGGAAAAGUUGUAGCAAACUGGGGAAAAUUUUACUUUAGGAAUGAAUAUAGAUAGCGAUCAAAGCUAGGUUAUAUAGACGACAACAACAACAACAACAACAACAACAACUAUCCAGUGUAUUCUCACCAGGUGGGGUCUGGGGAGGGUAAUGUGUAGACGAGCCUUACCCUUGCCCGAAAGGGCAGAGAGGCUGUUUCCAAUCGACCCUCGGCGAAUAGGAUAAAGGAAAAAGCUGCAUUAAGAAAAAGCUAGGUUAUAUAGAAUGACACAUAAUUAAUUGGAGAAAAUAAUUUUCUUUUUCGUUUUUAGCAUCGCUUGUUGGGCCCCUACUCGAUCAUAGCAGAUUUUCCACUAAAAGAUUAUUGUGACUGCAUAAUCACCGAAACGCCUAAGUCUAUAACUUCCCAGAUUCGGAAGAAUUAUAAUAGCAAUAAUAAAUAUAAAUGGAGAUCAAAUCUAGGUUAUAUGAAAUUUAUUGUUAUGAAUUGAAGUAGAUACUUAUCUUUAUCACGUUUAGCAUCGCUUGCUUAGCCUCUAUCUUACCAAGAUAUCCUAUGAAAACUGCUACAACUGCAUCAUUCUUGAGGCGUCUCCGUCUCAGACAUGUCUGAUUGAGAAGGACUUUACUCUCAGUAAUAAUAUAGAUGGCGAUCAAAUCUAGGUUAUAUGAAAUUUAUUGUUAUGAAUUGAAGUAGAUACUUAUCUUUGUCACGUUUAGCAUCGCUUGCUUAGCCUCUAUCUUACCAAGAUAUCCUAUGAAAACUGCUGCAACUGCAUCAUUCUUGAGGCGUCUCAGUCUCAGACAUGUCUAAUUAAGAAGAACUUUACUCUCAGAAAUAAUAUAGAUGGCGAUCAAAUCUAGGUUAUAUAAAAUGAUAGAAUUAAUGAAGAGAUUUAUCUUUGGCGUGCUUGGUAUCUCUUGUUGGAUUGUUUUCUGAUCUUACCAAAAACCCCAUCUAAGGAUUGUUGUGACUACAUCAUCGUCAAGGCACCCUGGCUUAAACAUACUAAACUGGGAAGAACUUGUCAUAAUAAAUAAAAAACGGUGAUGAAAUCUAAGUUAUAUAAAACGAUGAUAAAUUGGUUAAGACACUUGUCUUUGUCGCGCUUGAUUUUUC